rnacentral:rRNA from 1 species
UGGGGAAUUUUGGACAAUGGGGGAAACCCUGAUCCAGCCAUCCCGCGUGUGCGAUGAAGGCCUUCGGGUUGUAAAGCACUUUUGGCAGGAAAGAAACGUCGCGGGUUAAUACCCCGCGAAACUGACGGUACCUGCAGAAUAAGCACCGGCUAACUACGUGCCAGCAGCCGCGGUAAUACGUAGGGUGCAAGCGUUAAUCGGAAUUACUGGGCGUAAAGCGUGCGCAGGCGGUUCGGAAAGAAAGAUGUGAAAUCCCAGAGCUUAACUUUGGAACUGCAUUUUUAACUACCGGGCUAGAGUGUGUCAGAGGGAGGUGGAAUUCCGCGUGUAGCAGUGAAAUGCGUAGAUAUGCGGAGGAACACCGAUGGCGAAGGCAGCCUCCUGGGAUAACACUGACGCUCAUGCACGAAAGCGUGGGGAGCAAACAGGAUUAGAUACCCUGGUAGUCCACGCCCUAAACGAUGUCAACUAGCUGUUGGGGCCUUCGGGCCUUGGUAGCGCAGCUAACGCGUGAAGUUGA